rnacentral:rRNA from 1 species
CCUACGGGUGGCAGCAGUCGAGAAUCAUUCACAAUGGGGGAAACCCUGAUGGUGCGACGCCGCGUGGGGGAAUGCAGGUCUUCGGAUUGUAAACCCCUGUCAUGUGGGAGCAAAUUAAAAAGAUAGUACCACAAGAGGAAGAGACGGCUAACUCUGUGCCAGCAGCCGCGGUAAUACAGAGGUCUCAAGCGUUGUUCGGAAUCACUGGGCGUAAGGCGUGCGUAGGCUGUUUCGUAAGUCGGGUGUGAAAGGCGCGGGCUCAACCCGCGGACGGCACAUGAUACUGCGAGACUAGAGUAAUGGAGGGGGAACCGGAAUUCUCGGUGUAGCAGUGAAAUGCGUAGAUAUCGAGAGGAACACUCGUGGCGAAGGCGGGUUCCUGGACAUUAACUGACGCUGAGGCACGAAGGCCAGGGGAGCGAAAGGGAUUAGAUACCCCAGUAGUC